rnacentral:rRNA from 1 species
UAGCCUAGAUGGUGGGGUAACGGCUCACCAUGGCAAUGUAUACGUAGCCGACCUGAGAGGGUAAUCGGCCACAUUGGGACUGAGACACGGCCCAAACUCCUACGGGAGGCAGCAGUAGGGAAUCUUCCACAAUGGACGAAAGUCUGAUGGAGCAACGCCGCGUGAGUGAAGAAGGGUUUCGGCUCGUAAAACUCUGUUGUUAAAGAAGAACAUAUCUGAGAGUAACUGUUCAGGUAUUGACGGUAUUUAACCAGAAAGCCACGGCUAACUACGUGCCAGCAGCCGCGGUAAUACGUAGGUGGCAAGCGUUGUCCGGAUUUAUUGGGCGUAAAGCGAGCGCAGGCGGUUUUUUAAGUCUGAUGUGAAAGCCUUCGGCUCAACCGAAGAAGUGCAUCGGAAACUGGGAAACUUGAGUGCAGAAGAGGACAGUGGAACUCCAUGUGUAGCGGUGAAAUGCGUAGAUAUAUGGAAGAACACCAGUGGCGAAGGCGGCUGUCUGGUCUGUAACUGACGCUGAGGCUCGAAAGUAUGGGUAGCAAACAGGAUUAGAUACCCUGGUAGUCCAUACCGUAAACGAUGAAUGCUAAGUGUUGGAGGGUUUCCGCCCUUCAGUGCUGCAGCUAACGCAUUAAGCAUUCCGCCUGGGGAGUACGGCCGCAAGGCUGAAACUCAAAGGAAUUGACGGGGGCCCGCACAAGCGGUGGAGCAUGUGGUUUAAUUCGAAGCUACGCGAAGAACCUUACCAGGUCUUGACAUACUAUGCAAAUUUAAGAGAUUAGACGUUCCCUUCGGGGACAUGGAUACAGGUGGUGCAUGGUUGUCGUCAGCUCGUGUCGUGAGAUGUUGGGUUAAGUCCCGCAACGAGCGCAACCCUUAUUAUCAGUUGCCAGCAUUAAGUUGGGCACUCUGGUGAGACUGCCGGUGACAAACCGGAGGAAGGUGGGGAUGACGUCAAAUCAUCAUGCCCCUUAUGACCUGGGCUACACACGUGCUCACAAUAGAGAUGGUAC